AAUUGUCAAUAAAAAAAUCUUUUCAUCUCAUGAAUGCUCACUACAAGAAAACACGCCGAGGAUCUGAGACUAGUAUAACAAGGGCUAGACAAUGUAUUUGCAGCCAUGGGUUGGCUACGGAUAAACCACAUAUUACAUCAUUGUGUUUUUCACAUGGUAUUGUCAUUAAGAGAGAAGAAUAACAACUUAAUCAAGGUGGUAUAUAUGCUUCUUGAGAAAGUAGAAGACAUUUUGAGAGAUUUAGUUGAGAGAUUAAGAGAGGGACGUACAUAAUCAUCUUCCCUCAAAACUCAGCUAAUGGAUUUGUGUAAGCUAACUGCAAAAUCACUAUGAUUAGUUGCAACAAUUUUUCCAAAUUAAGGCAAACAAAACAAUCCAUUCGAUCUAUAAAGGUGAUAUCACGACAUUGACCAAGGACUAGCAAUUGAAAUUUCUGCCUCAGCAUGGUUUAACAAUGCCAAAUCUCUUCCAUUGGUUGAUGAUCUCCCUUUCUUUUCGAUCGGAGUGUUCUUUGUAUUCUCGGAGGUGAAAUAUUGACAAGAGCUAAGACGGCGAGUCUCUGCAAUGCCCUACGUUUAUGACAUGGCAGUACUACUCCUAGGAUUGCAACAACAGAUCUAAAAACGGAAAACACUGCAGGCAUAGAUGCAUGCGUAGCUAGGUAGGCGUCCCUUAUUAACUUCUCAACCAAAGAAUUACAAUUUUUUUAUAUUAUAUAUAUAGCUGCUCCAAGAAUUAGAGGCAUAGGCGCAUACUUAAGUCACAACACUGAAGGCCUCUCACUCACUUAAUUUCUUCUUCCACUGCUUCUCAACCUCUGUCUCUCUUUCUACUUGUUAAUUCUUACUUGUUUCCUUACACUUGUUACAUACACAAUUAAAUAAAACUGAUUUUGUAGCAACAAAAAGAAAAAGUCAGGGAAGAGGUUAUGUAUGGUCAUCUUCUUGACCCAAUUUUGGUCAAGAAAACUGAGCCAUAUUUCAACAACUCUUUUUGAGCUCCUGAAAACAUCCUAUUUUCGAGAAGAGGAACAAGUACUGCAUAGACCUCACGUCUGCCCUGCUGCGAGAGCCUCUUGUGUCUGAUCCAAAGAGUGAUUUUGAUAGGUACACAAGACCCCAAUCUUCUUUGAUGACAUCCAAAGAAGCCAGUUCAAGCACCGCACAUGAAGUUGCAACGCAAACCAAAUUUUGAAUUCCAUGCAUUCUGGUUUCUUUUACUCUCUCACACUCAUAAAUCUGAAGCUCAUGAGCACCUGCAAGCCAAACAAAACCACAAACAGAAUGCACGGCCCAGAAUAUUAUUGGGCGCAUGGCUUGCAGCAAAUGACUAGGUCAAAGAAACGCUGUAAAAGUAAAAUACAUCUCCAUGAUCCACCAGCCUCAUCUCCAAGUCCACCAUAUGUCUUCAUGGAAAAGAGCUUCUUGAGCUUCUCUGCUAGUCACCUUAUUUGGAAAUUUCCAAAGAAGAUUGGGGUCUUGUGCACCUAUCAAAAUCACUCUUUGGAUCAGACAACAACAGGAUCUCGCAGUAGGGCAGCCGUGAGGGCAACGUAGUACUUGUUCCUCUCCUAGAAAAGGGAUGUUUUCAGGAGCUCAAAAACAGUGGUUGAAACAUAGCUGAGGUUUCUUCACCAAAAUCGGGUCAAGAAUAUGACCAUAUAACUUCUUCCAUGGCUUUUCCUUUUUGUUGCUACAAAAUGAGUUUUAUGUAAGAGUUUACGUAACAAGUGUAACAAAGCAAGUAAGAAUCAAGAAGUAGAAGGAGAGACAGAGGAUGAGAAGCAAUGGAAGAAGAGAUUAAGUGAGAGAGGCUUUCAGUGCUGUGACCUGUGAAUUGCGAUGGGAAAUGGGGGUUAAUAAAGGGAGACCUUUGCCUCCACUGUUUAGAGCGGUUUUUAAUUUUUGUUUUCUUUUUUGUCUUUUGAUCAUAAGGAUCACCUCCUGUAUCAUUGGGGUCUAUGCCCUGCAGUUCCGUUUGGAAUUGUUGUUGAAGUCGUAGAACUUGUGCUGCCACGUGAUAAACAUUGCUACUUGAUUCCUCACUGUAAAUACCUUUUUAUAGAGACAUUAUUGAGAGUGUUGUCUCACAUUUAAAAACUAAGGAACCUAGGGUUUAGCGAAGUUGAGAAUGCAAACGUUGGCUUAGUCAAGUUGGUAUUGCCAAUUGAUUUUAGGGUGAAACCUCCACUUCAUUUAUAGUAUCAAAAUAAGGCUUUUCACGUAUUGAACCCAAUGACCACACGUGCUCCCACCACGUCACACAUAUAUGUGUUGUACGCAUUUUAGAAUUGAAAGUUUGCCACAUACGAUGGCGUGUUGAGAAUGUUUAUUAUUAUUUAUUUUGCCUGACUUUAUGUUUUUACAUUUAUUGUAAAAUCAAUAACUGAACUAAAUGAGAAUUAAAGUACAAGUGGCUUGUAAUUCAAGUGGUUAAGAAUAUUUACCCCUACAUUCGAACUUCUAUGUCCAAUUCCCUCCCACUGGAACUAAGUUAAUGGCUAAGGUGGGUUGCCCAAUGAUGUUUUUGGGUGGAAAAAAAAAAUAAAUUUCAAACCUAUAUAUUUGGUGUGUUUUAAAUAUAGUCCAAUAUGUAUUAAUUUAUUAAAGUCCAACAAAUUCCAAUUCUUUAUGAAUUUAGUUGCAUAACAGCAAUAAAAAUACAUAUUAAAAUAGGUACACUUUCAAUUUUGUUGUUGAAUAUAUUUUCAGUUUGAUAAUAUCUUUUUUUUUUUGCAUUUAAUAUAUAUUGGUUUUUUAAAUUAGUAUUAUAUGUUUGUAUUUAUUUUAUGUUAAAGUUUAAUGAAAAUUAAUUAAUGGAGCUAUGAAUUAGCUUAUUUAUAUUAUUUAAUGUAUACUUUUAUUUAUAGAAAGACUAAAGAAGCCAUGAGUAUAAAAAAUAUAUAUUUUUUUGAUUUAACCCUAAAUUCUUUAACUAGCUGACUCAUUGAAAAAUUCAUAACUCUACCCUUAUUCCCUCCUCUCUCAAUAUCGAGUAUCAAAAAAGAGAAUUAAAGCCUUUAUAAUUUUCUAAAUUAAAAAGUGGAGUUGAAGUUGAAACUUUAAAGAAAACUUCUAGAAUAGUUUUAUAAAUUUUUUAAAAUAAAUUUCAACUAAAGAAUAAAAAUUAUGGUAGUAGAUGCUCUUAUGAGCUAAUAAGCAACUUCAUUGCCACUUCACGAAACCUCCUUGAAACACCCAAAAAUCAUCUCCUUGUCAGGGGCCUCAAGAAUCAACAUGAAACGUCCCUAAAUUGGCAUUUAACGAACAAAUUCAAUAAAUAAACAUGUGACACUACAUGCAAUACAUGUGGCUUGCUACUACUACAUGCAAUACAUGUGGCUUGUUAUUAUAUUGCUAGGCCUUUUUAUGAUUUCACCAUAUUCACAUGGCUUAGUACAUACUUGUUUUUUUAAUUUAUUUUUUUUAUUCUUUUGCAUUUAUGAGGCAAGAUAUGCACCUAAAAGAAUAUUCAGAUCAAUAAAUGCUUUAGGGUUUAUUUGAGAGUGAUUAUAGAAGGGUGAGAAUCAUUUAGAGAUUUUUUAUUUAUUCUGAUACAAGGGUUAAUUUAACAAUGUCUGAUAAUUGACCUUUUUCUGUUGGGUAAAAAAUAAAAUAAAUUGUUGUGGUCAUUAGACUGUCAUCAGAAAACGAAAUCAAACAAACUAUAAUUUCCCAUACGAUCUAAUCACAUGAUAAAAACAGCUUGGUGAAAACGACAAAAUCUUAUGUAUACUACAAAUAUUGUCUAAUUAUUUAAGUAUUGGAGUGAACAAAGAAAACUGUGGGGUUUAAUAGAAAAACUCUUUUAUUUUUUAUUUUUACAACUGGGGUGUAUUUAAGGGUAGUUUGGGAAUAUCAGUUUUCUUAGAAAUUGUGAAAAUUUAAAUUAGAAGUUGGGGUGAACUUAAAACAUGGGGUGAACAAAGAGAAGUGUGGGGUUUAAAUAGAAAAACUCAUCAUUUAUGGGGAGGAUAAUCAUUUUAAUGUACUUUUUCCACAUAAUUACUUUAAUGUGAUUCUUCAUAAAAUCAUUUGAAAUCACUUAAACUGAUUACAUGGAGAAGUGAUUAUUGUCUAUCCAGAAUCACUCACAAAUGAGCUCUCUUGUUUAUGAAUGUUUUUAUAAGAAGCACUUACGCUCAUAAGUCCUUCUUAUAAAAGCGUUUUUGUUAUAAGCAAUUAAAAAUUUAAGUGCAAGAACUUUUAAAUUUUAAAUGCCGUCAAAACCCUUUUGAUUAUUUAAAAGCAUUUUUAGUCAUUCCAUUCUAUAAAUAAAUAAAAAAAAAAAAAACCCUUAACUUGUUGAGUGGGAAGUGAAUAACUUUUCUAGAGGAAGAAAGGUGUACCAAGGGGCAAAACUGUUCUCAUGAAAUAAGCAUAAUGAUGCAUGAGAGAUCUCUUUCAUAAUUGCUUUCGCUUUCAUUUUUGUCAUUCAUGGCACUGAAACUCAAUUGAAGGGGUUUAAUGGGCCCAAUACGGCCUGAAAUUCAAUCAUGAUUUGCUUUCUUGCUAAGAAAUCUAAUAUGUUGAAGCGAAAAAAAAAAAAAAAUUUGUUUUUGGUUUGCCAAAGUUAGGAAUAGGGAGGAAGGGGAAACUCUCACACACAGGGAUUAUGAGAGUUUAAAUUCAAGACCACUUGAGAGCACACCAAAGAUCUGAACUAAUCCAACUAACACCCCAUUGGUAAACUUUUGCUCCUUCCAUUAUAUAUGGCCUGUAAUCAAACCCCUCCGCCCAAGGGUGGAACAAGAAAUUUUUCAAAGAGUGGGCUAGCUAAAGUUAUUAGCUUAAAAUCUAAUAAUAAUUUAUUUUUUGUACUUACAUUUUCUAUAGUUUUUUUAGAAAUAAAAGUAUACAUUAAAUCAUGCUAAUUGUAAACACAAGAAGAAGAAGAAAAAUGCAAUUAGAGCUAUAUUAUUCACGAAAGGGUGAAUUUCAUUUAGAAAAAUGCUUCUCUUUUAGAGACAAAUUAAUUAAUAGAAAGUUUUUAAAAUUGAUGUUGUGACAAACUUUGACACUAAAUACAAAUGUGGAAUACCUCUGACUAUGCCUAUUGGUGUUGAAAUUGUAUAUUUUUAUUAUUUAUUUUUAGUUAAAAUAUUAGACUAUAUGUAUAUUUAAUUUGUUUUUUCCCAAAUCUUCUCUGGACUACAGUCAAGGACAGCCCUUGCCUUGGUCCUGCCCUUGCCUCCACCGCGUCCGAUGCUCCUUUCAUUAACCUCGUUUGUUAUAACCGUCUCACCUAACAAAAUAUGCAGUUAUGGGAACAAGACCGAUUUGAUUGUUUCCUCAUAGAUUAGUGGUGUUUGACCCACAGAUAUUCCAAUGGUUAACAUAUAGAGAUAUAAUUAUUCUAAAUGUGAUUUCAGGAUAGGAGAAGCUUGAUGGGAAAAAAGGGACACGGCUUUUCUCUUUUAUUUCUUUUAGGUCCCGUUUGAUUUAUGAGAAAUGAGGCUUGAGAAUGAGAAUUCAAUUGCUUUUCCAUGUUUGGUAAGUCUAUACAUGAGAAAUGGUUGUCUGGCACAUGGGAAAGUAAGGGGGAAAGUGAAGCCUUCCUCUUAACUUGGGUUUUGUUUUCCCUACUCGUGGGAAAGUUUGGGAAAAUGAGCCAACAUUCAAUGCACAAUUUUCAUGACUAUUUUGUCCCUAUGAACAAUUUAUAAUUACAACGUAUCAUUAAAUGCAUUCUUUUUUUAUAUGAUUUAAUAUGGGUAUAAUUGGAAAAUUAUACAAACUUUAUUUUCUAUUCUUACUCAAAACAAACAUGGGAAAAAAAACAAGGUGAAAUCUUCCGGUUACUUUUCCGACAUUACCAAACGUGGAAAGGGAAUCUUUCAUUCCCAUUCCUUGGGAAAUGAUUUCCCCUCAAAUUCAUUUCAUGAACCAAACAGGGCCAGUGGAAGGGGCCUCAAAAUCGUCCCCUCCUUCCCAAAACCUUUGUACUAUUUAUAGAGAGAACUAAAUGGGUUAAUUUACAAGCCGAUUUAUGUCAUAUCAAAUCCGUCAGAUGAUGGGUGGUUGAGAUUCGUCUACGUCCUCUGCCUAUGAUGACCUCUACAUUUCUACUAGGAGGCAGGCUUGGGCAGAGUAGCCUGUUGCGGGCGGCGGCAGUCCCAUCUGGUCAGGUGGUGAUCCAGGCCGUUUAUACCUGGCUUUUGAGGGGACGUGGGCACAUCUUACGAGGUGUGAGGAACCUGUGGACAGGGAGGUCUUGUCAUCGACUUGGAUGAUGCGCAUCCUCUUGAAUUUUCUAAGACAACUCAAAUCCGAGACCGAGGCGAUUUGUUCAUUUUUCCCGGUGCAGUGUACGAGGCCCACAUAUUGUGUUUUUAUUGGGCGGAUGAGGUCGGUGUGUUUCGAGCGUCAACAAAUGGAUUAAAAGUUGUAUACGUCCCACUGAUUUUGAAAGUUAGGCAAGAAAGAGACUUAAAGAAAUGGCAUCAAGACGGGUUUUGAGACUUUAAGGGCUAAUUAUUUGUCAUAUAUAUGUGUGUGUGUGUCACAGCCAAGAAUUAUUGAUCUCAUGGCACUUAUUAAGCAACAAGUACUUGUAGGGUCGUCGAUUACGAAGUGACCUUCAACAAAUCUUUAGAGGAUACAUAUGUCUCCUGAAUUUGAUUACCGCGGUCAUCAUUUCAUUUGACAUAUGAUCUUUUUUGGCUUUGAAUAGUGAUCUUAGAUGAUAUACAUUUCUGAAAGAGGAAACAUAUCAACCUUUGAGAUCACCACCUCCACAUAUGUUGGUUAAUUAUUGUUUAUCCAACCCAAACCAGAGACAAAGAACAGAUGACAACCAGAAAAGGAGGUACCAAAUUGUGAGGGCCAAGUCUUAAGGCAGAUUUUUUAUAACAGUAGUUGGCUCCUUACAUGUAAGAUCACUUGUUUUUUAUAACAAUAAUUUUUUAUUUUUUAUUGCUUAAUUACUUGAUCACUUGUGUCCUUUUGCUCUUAAUAAAAUAUUGUAAUUCAAACAUGCGUUUAAUUCUUUAUAGAGAGGACAACCAUCUUUCAAUCCUUUUUCUAAAGGGCCUGUUGCUAUCUCUAAUCUUCCUUCAGCUAAAGCAAUAGCAACAGAAAAUAUGACAGCGAUGUAUAUGAGCAAAGCAAUUAAGAAGUAGCAAAAUAAGAAUCAAUAAAUUAUUGAAGAGACGCCAUAUUAGGAUAGGAGCAAUCAUGCAAGGAGUCAGCCACCACCUUGUUAACUGGAAAAAGUUUGCAGAAUUUAGUAAGCAUAACAAUCACAUGCUUUGACAUGACAUUGUUUAUCAUUCACAUACAUGUUAUGCCACCGGAAAAAGUUUAUCAUUCACAUACAUGUAUGCCACCGGAAAAAUAAGACAGAUUUACGAAACUAUUAAAUUAUAUAUAUAUAUUUUUUAUUGUCUCAUUCAUUGUCCUCAAGAUAUUAAAUGUUUAUGUUGUUUGUUGUUGCACAUGUAAAUAAACUAAUUCAUCAAAAUAGAUAUGCUGCAGAAAACUAACUUCUAGUCAUAUUUAUUUAACAAUAUUUAUACCAUAUUUAUUGGGCAGUUUAUUUCAAAUAUCAAUAUUUCAUUUUAGGGAUCAAUAUUUCAUUUCAUAGGUCAAUAAAAUGAAUUCUGAAAUGAAAUUUAUUUCAAUAAGUUGGUCCACCAUAAUAACUCUACAACCUCUCUCUUAUUGACACAUGGACAACAUUACUUUUUAAUUUUUAAUUUUUAAUUUUUUCAUUGCAUUUAAUUAGUGUAAACCAGCUGUUACCAAGGGUAGAUCUACAAUUGGGCUGGAGUGGGCUCCAGCCCAGUGCUGAUUUUGUUUGUAGGCUUAGUGGUAUAAACUAAAUUUAAGUAAAGUAAAUAAUAGUCUAGCCCUCUAUUUAAAAUAAGCCCGCUAUUGAAGCAUAUAGGAAAUAGUAAACAUGCAAUCCAUAACAUAUAUAAAUUUGUUUAGAAGCAAACAUCAGAAUUUUUCUCCUAACCACCCAACACGCCAUGUUUGAACCUUUAGAGCCUAGAAGAAAUAGCAUAUAUGUUUUAUUUUUGCAACUUGAAUUAUUUAUUAGCAUGGAUGAUUUUUGGUGUCUAGUAUUUCUUGUUAGGAUAUCAUGUCACAUGAUGAUAAUAGACUGGCGAAGAUAGGAAAAAAUAUUUAUUCAUUCUUUAAAAAAAAAGUGGUAACGAUAACAAGGAUACAUCUUUAGCAUUUGAUGUUGAUACUUCAAUUUUUGAGGAACUUACUCAACUCGAAUCUCAAGCAGUUGAACAAUGUGUUUGAUUUGAUAUUUAUUUAUAUUUUGUACUUCUUUGUGUUAUAUUUGCUCGUAAUGUCGCAUUUUUUGAUUUAUAAAUUUUUAUUUACAUUUUUGUUUCAAAAGAAAAGAUGCUUAUAAUAUAUCUCCUGUAAAAAGUAAAAUUUAGCCUACCCCUAUAAAAAUUCAUGGGUCCGUCAUCGGCCGUUACUUAAAUCCAUAACAUAUAGAGAUUUAAGUAAUUAAGCAAUAAUAUGAAGGGGAAUUGAGUAAUGUAAGCACUUAUAAUGAAUAAUAAAAUCAUCAAUAACAUUAAAUGGAUUAAAUAGGAAAGAAGUAAAUGAUAUUAAGUAAUUAGUUAAUUGAUCAACAAUUAGAACAAUAAGUAAUUAUGUUAAUUUCUAUUUUGAGAAAUAGCUCGCAAGAGUUAUAAAUACGAGUUUUCAUAGGUAAUAAUCACAAAGUGAUGACUAACAUGGUGGUUAAGUGGCUUUAGAAUUUGGAAAGGGAAGGGGUUCAAACCCCUGCGUUUCCAUAAAUGGACGAUAAAUUGAUGGAUAUGUGCUAAAAUAUCGCUAUCCAAAAAAAAAAAAAAAACAGUUGAACAACAAUUGUAGACCUAAGGAUGCUUCAUAAAAUUAGGAGAACCGAAAAAGGAAGCCCUGGCUUGAAAAACAUUUAGUGAAUAUUUUGGACAACAAAAAUUUAGUGGAUAUAGAAUUAAAAUUUGAAAGAAAUUAUGAAAAUUUAGAUUGAAAAUAUUUAAAACUGAAAAAAUAUUGUAGUUGGACUCACGUCCAUGACAGCCACCGAACGAGGGAUCUGGGCCGGGCCUGCAUUGUGUAGCUCAAGUUUUCCUCCCUUCAUUCAUUAGAUAAUUUCUACGGCACUUGGACAAUUUAGUACAAAGGGAGUGGUUGAAAAGUUUUAGAGUGUGUGGUGUGGGGCUGUUGGGAGCAAAGAAGGUAGCCAGAAGAGGUGAGUGAUUGAGAAUAAUUAAAUACUUUUUAAAAAGCAAAAUAAAUAAACUCAUUUCAUUACAUCUAAAAUAAAAAUUUAUUAUGUGAAUUUAACAAUUAGUUUUGGGCCUUUAUUUUCAAAAUUUUGUGGCGUGAUCCUUUGGGUCCUAGGCUGUCACCUUACAUGGGGCAAGGCUCUUGAACUUGAUAAUGUGUUUGCUCAAGUAUUCAUCAUUCUAGUUUCAAGAGAUUGAUAAGCAAAGUGUUUCUCCAACUUCAUUAUUCAAUUUCAUUUAAUUAUAUGUUAAAAUUUUAAAUAUUUUCUUUAAAAAAUAACCCUAUGCCUUAUUAAUUUUUAAAUAAAUCAUAGUAAUUUGAUAAAAAUGACAACAACAAAAAAGUAAGUAAAUUAUAGUAAUUUAAUUUAAACUACCAAGAGGGGGAUUCAAACUAAGGUGCAGAGUGGGGAGCAUGGCUCUAGCUAACUUUGCUAAGCCCAUGGUUGCAAUUAUGUUGUGUUUUUAUGCGUGAUUGAGGAUAAUUCCAUUGUGGCUUGAGUAAAAAAAUGUAACAAUACACAAAGGCAAGAGUGAAAAUCCAGACAAUAAUGCAACGUGACAAUUAUUGACCUACAAAUCAUUUUCUUUAUCCAUUUGAGAGUAUAGGGACACCAUGUUGGUUGGAGGAGGGGCAAUCUAAUUGCAAACAUGCUUGAGAUUAUAUGUUUCAGCAAGGUGCUGCUGGGGUCUAUCAUGAAAUUUUAUUCUGGUUUAAAAACCCUAGAGAUAUAUGGAUGAUAGAUUUUGAAAAUAAAAUAGAGAUAGGAAAAAAAAACUCACUUGAUAAUUAACAUUCACCCAUUUUGAAUUACAACAAGCACUACCAAAGAAGAAGAAGGAGAAAAUCAAUGGGAAAUCAUUUUCCUCAUUAGCUAGGGAGGGAAGCUAAGUACUGAUUUGAUGAUUUCUAACUGUGCCAUCUUUUCAUAAUUGCGGUUCUCAUGGCCUCCUGAUCACUACUGAACCCGUAAGGCACUCUUGCCACAACAUCUUGAAUCAUCAACUCUUUCACACUUGAUAUGCUUGCAUGAUAAACUUGUAAUCCUAGCCCCUUGAGUGCGUUCAUCAAUCGAGCAUACGGGUAGUCUUGAUCCGGACACUGAACUCGUAUUAUCGCUUCUGAUCCCAUGAUCUUCACAUCCAUUUCCACUGGCACAACUGUUCUGCUAUUAUAACUUGAAUGAUGAUGAUGAUGAUGAUGAUGACUAUCACCUAUGGAGCUGCUGCUUUGGCUAAGGUGAUGAUCAAGAUGGCUAACACUACCCGUUUUGGGAGUUGGAGGUUGCUCUUGGAUUUUGGCCUCCAAUUCCUCAACCUUUGCUUUGAGCUGAUUGAUGUAUGACACAGCAUCAGCAAGCAAAGAGGACUUGUCCAUUUUGGAGACAUUGGGAACAACAGACCGGAGGACAUAGAAGCGAUGAUUAAGCUUCUCCCUCCUCUGCCUCUCUGCCUCAACAUGAUUUAACAAUGCCGACUCUCUACUAGCUCCAUUGGUUGACGAUCUCCCUCUCUUUUUCGAACGAGGCUUCGCUAUAUUCUCAGAGGUGAAAUUGCCAAUAGAAUCAGAAGGUGACUCUGGUGAUAACCCGCCUAUAUUGAUAGGUGCUACUUCUUUUCUACCACAUUCUGGGGAAAAUGUAUUUAAAACAUCGAUGUUAAUAAUAAAAAUUGAGAGUAUGAAGACAUGACAAUAUCGACAAAGUAUCGAUAUGGAGACAAACUAUUUGAAAUCUUUAAUUGACUUAAUUUCUUGCUUACCUUGUCUGGUUAGCUCUUUUUGAACUCCUAAAAACUUCCCGUUUUCUAGGGAUGGAACAAGCACAUCGCCGUCACGGCUGCCCUGCUGCGAGACCCUGUUGUUAUUUGAUCCAAAGAGUGACAUUGAAAGGUGCACAAGGCCCCGAUCUUCUUUGAUCACAUCCACAGAAGCCAGCUCAAGCACCCCACAAGAAGUUGCAAUGCAAACCAAAGUUUGAAUUCCAUGCAUUCUAGCUUCUUUCACUCUCUCACACUCAUAAAACUGAAGCUCAUGAACACCUGCAAGCCAAACAAAACCACCAGAACAAAAUGCUCGGCCCAGAAUAUUAUUGGUGGCAUGGCCUGCAGCAAACGACUGGGUCAAAGAAACACUGUAAAAGUAAAACCACUCAGAUCCAGUGACAUCUCCAUGAUCCACCAGCCUCAUCUCCAAGUCCACCAUGUCUUCAUUGAAAAGAGCUUCUU
rnacentral:lncRNA from 1 species